rnacentral:snRNA from 1 species
CCACCACUCUGGCCUUUUGGCUUAGAUCAAGUGUAGUAUCUGUUCUUAAUAGUUUAACCUCCAUUAUGGAGGGCACCGCCUUCCCUUCAUUGGGUUAUCUCAUUUUUGCCGCCCUUGGUCCUUUGUGCUCUGCUUGCCACACGGAGGGCGCGCUGACCUUUGCUGCUGCACUUUAUGGCUUGCGUCGUCGGGGGAAUCG